ensembl:lncRNA
AGGUUGUCGUAUGUGUAUAUGUAAUUAUAGGUUAUGAGUGGACAGAGCUAGGUUGUCUUAUGUGUAUAUGUAAUUAUAGGUUAUGAGUGGACAGAGCUAGGUUGUCGUAUGUGUAUAUGUAAUUAUAGGUUAUGAGUGGACAGAGCCAGGUUGUCGUAUGUGUAUAUGUAAUUAUAGGUUAUGAGUGGACAGAGCCAGGUUGUCUUAUGUGUAUAUGUAAUUAUAGGUUAUGAGUGGACAGAGCCAGGUUGUCUUAUGUGUAUAUGUAAUUAAUUAUAGGUUAUGGUGAUGAGGAACAAUGGCAUUUGCAGGCUGUGAUUCUCAACUGGUCUGGCCUUGGGAUCCACAAUUUCCGAUGGUCAUAAGUUACGACCCAAAUUUUAUAGCAUUCAACCCAUAAAAUAAACAUCAUCUAUCGGACAUCAGAGAGUAUUUUUUCCCCACACUGUUGAGUUAUCUGGGGGGCUAUUUGCUUCACCUUUUGUCCAACUUAAUGAUUCAAAUUUCAUGUUACAUUCUUCAUGAAAUUAGCUCUUUAUACAAAUACUGUAUGUUGAUUCCUUCCCCACUCACACAACUGCA